rnacentral:rRNA from 1 species
AUUGAACGCUGGCGGCAUGCUUUACACAUGCAAGUCGAACGGUAACAGGGAGCUUGCUCCGCUGACGAGUGGCGAACGGGUGAGUAAUGCAUCGGAACGUACCCAGUCGUGGGGGAUAACGUAGCGAAAGUUACGCUAAUACCGCAUACGUCCUGAGGGAGAAAGCGGGGGACCGUAAGGCCUCGCGCGAUUGGAGCGGCCGAUGUCGGAUUAGCUAGUUGGUAGGGUAAAGGCCUACCAAGGCGACGAUCCGUAGCGGGUCUGAGAGGAUGAUCCGCCACACUGGGACUGAGACACGGCCCAGACUCCUACGGGAGGCAGCAGUGGGGAAUUUUGGACAAUGGGCGAAAGCCUGAUCCAGCCAUGCCGCGUGAGUGAAGAAGGCCUUCGGGUUGUAAAGCUCUUUCGGGUGGAAAGAAAACGCAUAGGUUAAUACCUUGUGCGGAUGACGGUACCAUCAGAAGAAGCACCGGCUAACUACGUG